GGCCGAAUGGUCUAGUCGCAUGAUUCCUGCUUUGUAGGCUCUCUCGCUCCACCACAUCUAAACUCUCGCUAAUCAUGUCUCCAGGGGUUUUCCGCUCAAGUCUGCAGGAGGUCCCGAGUUCAACUCUCGGUUCGGCCC